rnacentral:lncRNA from 1 species
AAAAAGCUCAACCAAGGUUCAAAACCUUGAAAUUGAUCUUAAGAACAUAAAAAAACUGAGUUCUAGAACCUCCAAAUCGAGGUCUUCAAACAACUUUGCGAAACAGCCCAACAACACACCUGACUACCCAGCCCCGUCACCCAGCUCGGCUACCUAGCCUGGUCUACCACUAACCCAGCCUGACAACACACCUCAGCAACCUACCCCUGCCAACCAGCUCGGCUACCCAGUCCAACCUUCCACUACCCAACUCAACAUCACACCCCAACUACCCAGCCUAGUCACUCAGCUCAACUACCUAGCCCGACCUUCCAUUAACUUAGCCCAACAUCAACCAAGCUCAACUCGACAACUACUCCAACAACCCAAUGAAAUUGUUUAUAAGUCUUAAUGAGUUAAGUUAUUACUCAAUUGUUUAGUGUCGUGAGUCUCUUGAGAAACAAUAUUUGAUCUUACCAUUUAUUAUUACUUGACAUGAUUCGGU